UUUUUCUCUUCCCCUUCACCGAAAUAUGCAGCAAAGAAAGGGUUUUGAAGCUGGAAAAUUUCAGCAACAUAUUUCCCUUGCUUGUAAGUGAUUUUAAUGUCUUUGCUUGAUGAUUUUUGUAUUUUUGGAACCCCUAAAGCAUAAGCUUUCAUAAGAGGGGAUUAUUUUGCAAAAUGAUGAAGAGUCUAGGGUUUUACCAUGAGAGUAAAUGUGUUGUUUGCUGUGUUUUUAUGGAAGAUUAUGAGUCCUAGUUGUCUAAUAAACAACUUUUGUGAAAGAAAUUGCAUGAAAAUACCUUAAAAAGGGCUAAAUUGCUAAGUUGUAAAAUGAGUUGUAAAUGUGUAAAAUAGUUGAAAUUAUGAGUUGCUAUAGUUAUGAAAAUGGUUCAUCUAGACUCAAAGAGUAAAGAAAUGUGAUAAAAAUUAAUUUACGAGCAUUGGGGCAAAAGUGUAAAUAUGCAAAAGUUUAGGGGUCAAAAUGAAAAUUUGUAAAAAUAUGAUUUUUAGACCCAUAUGAAUAUUGUGACUGAUUGGAAGGCUAAAUGUGAUGUUAUAGAUGAUGAAAAUUGAGACUUGGACCUAGAACGGAAAGAAAUCGAUUUAUGGACGAGUAUGUCCUUUUCACCUUUGUGGUACCGAGGUAAGUUCGUAUGUAAACAAUACCAUGCUAUACAUGUAUUUAAAUGUUAUCAUUACAUGAAUUGUACAGAUAUUAAUGUGUAUGUGAUUAAUAGAAAUAUGAUAAGACAAAGCCUUAAUAGACAAGAAAAAAUCCCGUUUGAACUUUAGGAAUAGAAUAGGAUACGAGUGACAUGUCACUAGGAAUUAUGAGUUUAGAUGACUAGCUCGAGAGUGAGCAUUGAAAUGUCAUGAGAUAUGAGGUAGCUUUAGCUACAAUUGAGGCACUUAUGUGCAAAGGCUUUUCCGAGUAUCCAAUUAGUAUUCCAAGUGUUCAACGGGCAAUCCAAGGAAAGAGUUGAUGAUGGUCCCAAUGAGGUAAGUCAUUGGUGAGUAUGCACUCGAGUUAUGUUACGAGUUGUGCAAGUAUGAAUACUAAUCCUAUGAGAAUGCCUUGAUAUGUGAUGAUCUAUGAUGCAUAAUAUGUGUUCUUACCAUGAUGGAUAAAAUGGUGUUGUAUUAAUAUUAUGAACAAUGACCAUGAAUGAGUAACUUAGCCUUGACAGAUUUGAGUUACUGCAGUAGUGUAACUUUGAAAAUACACUAAAAAUAGUGGAAAAUGAGUUAGAGGCAGAAUAAAAUAUGGGAUUAAAUAUUAGUGAGUCUAUUUUCACAUGAAAGAAAUAUAGGAAGAAAAAGAAUUCUAUAUAGUGUGAUAUUUAAAUUCUUGUGAAAUAGGGUCUGAAUGAAUUUGAGAUCCCCUGUUCUGAUUUUAUAAAUCCACCGUAAAUUGUAAAAAAAUUAUUAAGAGUCAUACCUUACCUUCAUAGAUUUCUUAUUGAGUCUAUUUUUAAUGGAAACAAACGGCAUGGUCAUUGGAAUUCUGUACAUGGAGAAAUUCGAUUCGUAGUGCGUAGGGGUCAGAGUAGUCAUACCCUGAAACAGGGGAAACUUUAACUAAUAAAAUGUACUAAAUGGCUUGACCAAAAAUUCUAUAAAAAAAAUAGUAAGUAUACAUAUGAGUCUAGUUUCAAGAGAAAUAGACGAGAACAUUAUUUGAAUCCUGUACUAUGAGAUAAUUUAACUUUAUUGCAAAAGGGUUGAAACUAUCAGACAGUGAAUCAGGAGCAAACUUGAGGAAUAAACUGUACUAAUUGGCUAAGUCAAAAAUUCUGGAAAUUUUAUGAAAGAAAUAUAAAUGAGUCUAGUUUCAGGUAAAAUUAACGGAACUUAAUUUGGAGUUUCGUAGCUCCAGAUAUAAAUAAUUUAGUGACUGUUGCUCAGGAAGACAGCUUGUAGUGAACUUGAGAAUAUGUUGUAAACAUUGAUAAAACUGGUUAAUGAGUUGCUUAUUAUUUUCAUAUGAACUUACUAAACGAAAGCUUACCCCCCUUCUUUCCCAUGUUUUCUAGAGUUUCCAGGUUAGCUCGGGUUGGAGGCCGUCAGAGAUAUUAUCACCCUAUCGAGUUAACGUUAUCGGAGUAAGUAAACUCAAGUGAUUUGAGUCUAUGGCAUGUAUAGGGUUUUAAUGUGAGUAUGUAAUAUUAUGAUUUAGCCAAAGGCAUUGGCUUGUUAUUAAGGUAGUAUUAGUCAUGUACAUUGGCCUAUGUCGGCUAAUGACGUUAUGGGCCCAUAUGAUUAUUCUUAUGCAUGUAUGUUAUUAUCUCCUGUGAUGUGGCUUCCAACAUGUAUGCCUAGAGAUUGAAUUGAGAUUCAUUGAUGAGCUAGUAACUAAUGCAGGAUUAAGUGAUUGGUAAAUAGUUAAUAAUGCUUCAUGAAUGGUUUGUGAUGUAAUGAUAGUUAUGUCUAGUAUGUGGUAAUGAUAUGGGCAAAUUCUAUAAUAUUUAUUGCAUAAGAAAAUAACUUGAGCAUAACAUGUUUGUAGAUGUUUAAGAGCUCAUUUAUGCCACGUUGUAUGUUAUUGGAUAAGUAUGUAUCUAUGCAUGUGGUGUGAGAGUGACAAAAGGCUUGAUAAUUAGCCUAUUUCUGGCCACACGGCCUGAGCACAUGGGCGUGUGAUGCCUUAACGUAAGAGAUUUUUCUAAGUUUUUCAUGAGUUCUCGAUUGGGUCCCAAACCACCCCGAAUGCAUGUAUUGGGCCUCGUAAGCUCGCAUAAGGGACAGAUUGCAUGUGAAAGGAAAAUUUUUUAAUUAUUUGAGAUUUCAUGGCCCUGUUUAGUAUGAAAGUGUUAGUAAAAGUCAGGUAGCGCCUCGAACCCCGUCCCGGCGUCGGAUGUGGGCGAGGGGUGUUACAAAGAACAAGUUGGAAACUGAGGUAAAGAGAAGGUUGCAGAAUAGUCCUUGAACUAUUGUUGUCAUUAUAGUUUAGCUGAGGUAAGUUCGUUCAGUUUAAUUCCAAUACGUUUUAAAUGCAUAUUAGAUAAAAACUUAAUUGCUGAAUGUUGGUUAAAAUGUGGAUGCCAUGUAAUUGAGAACUGAAGUAUUGGAUUGAUAUAACACUGAAUACUGUUGAUAUCUCCUAAAGUCAGAUAAACGUGGGAUAGAGUACGAUUGGCAUGCCAAUAUGUUAUAUUUCUGUAUAUUUCCUGCUCUCUGAAUAUACCAAGUCCUGUAUUUUUUGCAGACUAUCGAGUUAUAUUACAGUUUUUUUGUGGCAUGUUACCGGGGGCGGAUGUUAGCCUACGAGCUAGGUACUUGUUCUAAGACAUGUUAUCGGGGUGGAUUAGCUUGUAUGAGCGCUUGGCGUGUUUCCGAAUGGUUAAUCGUGUACUCAUAUUCGUACAUCGUUCAUCAAAAAAUAUCUUAGUGUUAAAUGAAUGUUAUUGAAAUGUAAGGCUUGAAUUGCAUUCCUGUUGAGUAUUAACUCACUUGUUGUGAACAAUGGUUGAUAGGAACUCUAUUUAUUAUUUUUUUAUUUGAAUUAUUUUGUUUAAUUCAGUAAGCCUUAUCAUUUUUAAUCGAUGAACUUACUAAGAUUUAUGAAAUAUUACUUGUGUUAUUUGUCUUAUUUCUUGUAGAUACUUUUUUGUGGAAAUCGGGAGAUUAGAUCAACUCGAGGAAUCACACUAUCCAAGGACCUUUGGUAGAUUUUGAAUUUACACUUGGCUUAUAUGGCAUGUAAUAGGAGAAUUGGAAUAUGUCUUGUGAUAGUCCAUAAAUACUCAUCCUAUAUAGCUUGGUGUGCU
rnacentral:lncRNA from 1 species